rnacentral:tRNA from 1 species
GUGGCUGUGGCUCAGUGGAGAGCGCUUGCCUAGUAUGUGUGAGGCACUGGGUUCAAUCCUCAGCACCACA